rnacentral:rRNA from 1 species
AGCGCAGGUGGUUUAUUAAGUCUGGUGUAAAAGGCAGUGGCUCAACCAUUGUAUGCAUUGGAAACUGGUAGACUUGAGUGCAGGAGAGGAGAGUGGAAUUCCAUGUGUAGCGGUGAAAUGCGUAGAUAUAUGGAGGAACACCGGUGGCGAAAGCGGCUCUCUGGCCUGUAACUGACACUGAGGCUGAAAGCGUGGGGAGCAAACA